UACGAAGGGGGCUAGCGUUGUUCGGAAUUACUGGGCGUAAAGCGCACGUAGGCGGACUUUUAAGUCAGGUGUGAAAUCCCGGGGCUCAACCUCGGAACUGCAUUUGAAACUGGAAGUCUUGAGACCAGGAGAGGUUAGCGGAAUACCGAGUGUAGAGGUGAAAUUCGUAGAUAUUCGGUGGAACACCAGUGGCGAAGGCGGCUAACUGGACUGGUACUGACGCUGAGGUGCGAAAGUGUGGGGAGCAAACAGG
rnacentral:rRNA from 1 species